CUAAGACUGAUGGCGACCGGCGCACGGGUGAGUAACACGUAUCCAACCUGCCGUCUACUCUUGGACAGCCUUCUGAAAGGAAGAUUAAUACAAGAUGGCAUCAUGAGUUCACAUGUUCACAUGAUUAAAGGUAUUCCGGUAGACGAUGGGGAUGCGUCUGAUUAGCUUGUUGGCGGGGUAACGGCCCACCAAGGCGACGAUCAGUAGCCGGACUGAGAGGUUGACCGGCCACAUUGGGACUGAGAUACGGCCCAGACUCC
rnacentral:rRNA from 1 species